AUUCCUGGAAGCAGCUUAGCCUGCCUCACCUGGAGCACCUGGGAGCCCCUGGAUCACCACCACACAGGCUUUGUGGGGUCGGAGUCCCUUGAAUUCACACAUGCUGUCUAAGUAAUUGGUUUUCCAGACUGUCAGCAAUGCUUCUUAAAGGCAGGGGAUUCUCUGUUCCUGAGAAAACAGUUCCCAGGCAAGCAAGGACAGACAGAAGGCAGCAGACAGGACCUGCGUCGACGGCCCUUGACUGCCUCUGUUUUAGGACUGAGGUCGUUGCCUAAAGUCGGGAGCAACUGGGAGCGUGUAGUGACCAUUUCAUUGCCAUUCCUGUUCAUGAACAAGUAGAGGCCCAGGC
rnacentral:lncRNA from 1 species